UUUUAAGAAAAAUAAAAGUUUCUUUCUUUUAGUAAAUUAUAUUUCUUAAAAU
rnacentral:tRNA from 1 species